CGGAGGGUGCAAGCGUUGUCCGGAUUUAUUGGGUUUAAAGGGUGCGUAGGCGGCCCGUUAAGUCAGCGGUGAAAUCCCAGGGCUCAACCCUGGAACUGCCGUUGAUACUGGCGGGCUUGAGUUCGGUCGAGGCGGGCGGAACUGGUGGUGUAGCGGUGAAAUGCAUAGAUACCACCAAGAACCCCGAUUGCGUAGGCAGCUCGCUGGGCCGAAACUGACGCUGAGGCACGAAAGCGUGGGGAGCGAACAGGAUU
rnacentral:rRNA from 1 species